CACGUAGGGCGCAAGCGUUGUCCGGAAUUAUUGGGCGUAAAGAGCUCGUAGGCGGCUUGUCGCGUCGUCCGUGAAAACCUGCAGCUCAACUGCAGGCUUGCGGUCGAUACGGGCAGGCUAGAGUUCGGUAGGGGAGACUGGAAUUCCUGGUGUAGCGGUGAAAUGCGCAGAUAUCAGGAGGAACACCGGUGGCGAAGGCGGGUCUCUGGGCCGAUACUGACGCUGAGGAGCGAAAGCGUGGGGAGCGAACAGG
rnacentral:rRNA from 1 species